rfam:Camelus ferus unplaced genomic scaffold scaffold1443, whole genome shotgun sequence.
GAGGGUAUAGCUCAAGCGUAGAGUGCAUGCUUAGCAUGCACGAGGUCCUGGGUUCAACCCCCAGUACUCCCU